GGGUGUAGCUCAGUGGUAGAGCACUUGCCUCAUAGGCACAAGGCCCUGGGUUUCAUCCCAGCACUGCA
rnacentral:tRNA from 1 species